UGGGGAAUAUUGGACAAUGGGCGAAAGCCUGAUCCAGCAACGCCGCGUGAGUGAUGAAGGCCUUCGGGUUGUAAAGCUCUGUCGGUUAGAACGAAUAAGGGACACCUAACACGUGUCCCGACGACGGUACUAGCAAAGGAAGCACCGGCUAACUCUGUGCCAGCAGCCGCGGUAAGACAGAGGGUGCAAGCGUUGUUCGGAAUUACUGGGCGUAAAGGGCGUGUAGGUGGUGGGGUGUGUUCGGUGUGAAAUCCCUCGGCUUAACCGAGGAAUGGCAUUGAAAACUACCCUGCUGGAGUGCAGGAGAGGAUGGCGGAAUUCCUAGUGUAGAGGUGAAAUUCGUAGAUACUAGGAGGAACACCAGAGGCGAAGGCGGCCAUCUGGACUGUAACUGACACUGAUACGCGAAAGCGUGGGUAGCAAACAGGAUUAGAUACCCCUGUAGUCCCUGAGCGGGCUGGCAAGGCGCAU
rnacentral:rRNA from 1 species